UACGUAGGGUGCAAGCGUUGUCCGGAAUUAUUGGGCGUAAAGAGCUCGUAGGCGGUCUGUCGCGUCGGCUGUGAAAACCCGGAGCUCAACUCCGGGCCUGCAGUCGAUACGGGCAGACUGGAGUUCGGCAGGGGGAGACUGGAAUUCCUGGUGUAGCGGUGAAAUGCGCAGAUAUCAGGAGGACACCGGUGGCGAAGGCGGGUCUCCUGGGCCGAGUAUUGACGCUGAGGAGCGAAAGCGUGGGGAGCGAACAGG
rnacentral:rRNA from 1 species